ACCGCAGAGGGAAAACAAGCUCCAAGACUGUCAACAUGGUGACCGCUAGCAAUACUGAUGGGUCGCAAGGGAUUCUUCCGUCCUAAUGGGGAAUGGGUCACAUGCUUCUGUUCGUGGCAUUGGCACGGUGGAUCUGAAGUUUACUUCGGGAAAGAUCGUGCAACUAAGGAACGUGCAGCAUGUCCCUACUAUGAACAAGAAUCUAGUUAGCGGCUCCCUUCUAUGUCGAGAUGGAUUUAAGGUAGUUUUAGAGUCCAAUAAAGUAAUCGUGUCAAGAUUUGGACAAUUUAUAGGAAAAGGCUAUGAGUGCGGAGGCUUGUUCCGCUUUUCCCUUUCAGAUUUUUGCAAUAAGUCAAUAAA